UCCGGUUGAUCCUGCCGGACCUGACUGCUAUCGGAUUGGUACUAAGCCAUGCGAGUCAUUGUAGCAAUACAAGGCGGACGGCUCAGUAACACGUAGUCAACCUAACUCGUGGACGUGGAUAACCUCGGGAAACUGAGAAUAAACCACGAUAGAUCAUAGUGCCUGGAAUGGCUUAUGGUCCAAACAGUUUACUGCCAUGGGAUGGGACUGCGGCCUAUCAGCUUGUUGGUGAGGUAAUGGCCCACCAAGGCGAUUACAGGUACGGGCUCUGAGAGGAGAAGCCCGGAGAUGGGUACUGAGACACGGACCCAGGCCCUAUGGGGCGCAGCAGGCGAGAAACCUUAGCAAUGUGCGAAAGCACGACUGGGUCAGUCCGAGUGAUUCCUGAUAAAGGAGUCUUUUGCCUGUCCUAAAAGCACAGGUGAAUAAGGGGUGGGCAAGUCUGGUGUCAGCCGCCGCGGUAAUACCAGCACCUCGAGUGGUCAGGACGUUUAUUGGGCCUAAAGCAUCCGUAGCCGGCUCUGCAAGUCUUCGGUUAAAUCCACCUGCUCAACAGAUGGGCCGCUGGAGAUACUACAGAGCUAGGGAGUGGGAGAGGCAGACGGUAUUCAGUGGGUAGGGGUAAAAUCCUCUGAUCCAUUGAGGACCACCAGUGGCGAAGGCGGUCUGCCAGAACACGUUCGACGGUGAGGGAUGAAAGCUGGGGGAGCAAACCGGAUUAGAUACCCGGGUAGUCCCAGCUGUAAACGAUGCAAACUCGGUGAUGCAUUGGCUUAUGGCCAAUGCAGUGCCGCAGGGAAGCCGUUAAGUUUGCCGCCUGGGAAGUACGGACGCAAGUCUGAAACUUAAAGGAAUUGGCGGGGGAGCACCACAAGGGUGAAGCCUGCGGUUCAAUUGGAUUCAACGCCGG
rnacentral:rRNA from 1 species